UACGAAGGGGGCUAGCGUUGCUCGGAAUCACUGGGCGUAAAGCGCACGUAGGCGGAUCUUUAAGUCAGGGGUGAAAUCCCAAGGCUCAACCUUGGAACUGCCUUUGAUACUGGGGAUCUCGAGUCCGGAAGAGGUUGGUGGAACUGCGAGUGUAGAGGUGAAAUUCGUAGAUAUUCGCAAGAACACCGGUGGCGAAGGCGGCCAACUGGACCAUUACUGACGCUGAGGCGCGAAGCGUG
rnacentral:rRNA from 1 species